CAUAGAUAGAACUACCAAUGUCCAAGUGAGUAAGUUUGCUGUGGUCUCUUGGCCUGCAAAGAAGAACAACUUGCAUUCCUCGAUUACAUCUUCAAUUUUCAUGUCAUUAUCAGCAUCAUCUCUGCCCUUUAGAAGCAAGCCUAGCAAGUCAGCAUCGCCUAAGUCUCCAUUUUGCAUGGCCUGCUCCUUCUUAUGGAUAAUAUUUCUCAAUGCUGCUUUUAUCUCUUUGUCUAUGCUGUAUCUCUUCUUGUUCUUUUUAGAAGGUAUGAAUCUAUUGGAGAAGCGCAAAGAAAUGAAAUGUUGUUAACUGGGAUUUAAUGUAUUAUCAGACAUUGGUUAAAAUUUUUAACAAACACCAAGAGAAGCUUGAAUUUGCAAGAGAUAAAUGGCAUUAAUAUGUACCUCAAACCAGGGAAGUAAAUGGAAUAAAAAGCUUCAAGGACCAAAGUGACUUGAUCUUUUUGAAGAUCAAAUAUUCUCUUUCCCUCUUCAUAGCUGCUUCCAAAGGCUGCUCGAGCUAUAACAUCACUUGCAAGAAUAUUAAAUUCGCUUGCAACAUCCAAUUCACAUGAUCCCUGAGGACCUGCUAAUUUCUUCCAUCGCUGAACCAGAUCACAACAGCAGGCUGAAAAUGCUGGGAUCAUCCCCUGUUCACAUACCAGCACUAAUCAGCAUAUAGACUCUAAUACCAUAUCAAACGUUGAUUCAAUUCAAAAGUUAAAAAGCUAGUGAUUGAAGGCUAAAGAUCUGGAAUCCUAAAAUCCUUAUAAAACAUGUAUGCAAGUUAAAUGGCUAUAUUAGUUCCCGCAAAGUUUCAUUAUGAUAAUCCAAGAAUUCUUUCAAGCUUCCAUCUCAAGUUUGACUACAGUACACGUUUUGGUGUGUAUAGCUGUACCAUCUCCUCAUCAAAGAAUCAUCUUAAUCCAUUAAUCCAAUAGAAUACCAUGUCAUAGAACUACCUCAAUCCAACAGCUCAAGCACAGGUUCCAAAAUAUGAUUUAUGUAACUCUCUAUCACUCCUUCUUGCCAUUUGCUUACAUUGAUGAAUGUUUUCUGGAUCAGUUUUUGCUUAUGCAGCACAUUGGUCAAUUGAUAAAAUGUAAAGAAGUCCAAAUAGAUUCUAAACUUUCAAAUGCAAGCUGUAAAAAAUUCUUAAGAAUGUUUAAACUUGCAAUAUUCAGGUAGGUGAAGUUACCCUUAAUCUCUCAACGUGGAAGGCAGGUGUCAUCAACCUUCUGCGUUUGGCCCAUUUGUCUCCUUCCAAGGUUGAGACUCCCAGUUGUAAUAGACCCACAAGGGCAUUUCGCGGUGGCUUUAUAAUGUGACCACUCGUGUCUGUUAACACCAACCUCACCAGCUCUGGAUCAGCUAAUAGCAGGCUAGGUCUUGUCCCCAUCCAACACAGGGAGACCUUUCCUGUUCUCGUUCGCAUUACAAAUCAGGAUAAUACCAAUUACCAAGUAUAUGUAUGAACAGAAAUUCCUAAAAAUAAUAAAAAUCUAAAAAAAAUGAGAUAGCUUGUGAAGCUGCUGCUCACCGUAAAUUUGCACCAUUUUAUAAAAGAAUGGAAAGACACGUGGUGCAAUUUCUUGAUUUAGAGCAAGGGGCCUGGACCUUGCUUCUUUAGAAGACCUUGCAAACUCUUUCAUAUCACCAUUCAAAAUCUUGUAAGAAGUGCCUCUGAUCCCUUGCUUCCUCAAACGCUUCUCUUGGCUUUUCGGCUUCAGCCAAAAAGUGUGAGCAACUCUAAACACAACAUAGAGAGAUAGAAGUAAAGAAGAGGACAGAAACCCUCUGAAGAUAAAAUCUUCCAUUUUUGUUUUUUUGGUUGGAAACUGCUGCUUCAGCAAACUUGGGAUCGAUGAAAUUUGAUGGAAAUGAGACCCGAUUGGUGAAGAAUUUAUAGGGUUUUUUUUUAGAUUAACUUUGGUGUUCGGACAGGUUCUGAAGUUAACAAUUAUAUAAAUUUUUAGUGACCCUGAAAUUUAUAGAACUCGAACUGUUGAAUUAUAAAAUAUAAACUCAGAAUCUGAUCAAUUAAUCAACACUUUUAAAAAAUAAAUUUAUAAGGUUUUUGUUAGCUCUUAUUGAACUUGGACCUUAUUAUUGAACUUGGACCUUAUUGCUUUCCUUUCUUUAUUUAAUAUAUAUAUAUAUAUAUAUAAAAACACACACAAUGAAAUUCUAUAUGAACACUUGUCACCAACCAAAAAUAAUGGUUAUAACAAAGUGAUUUGAUGUUUAUUUUUUUAAAAAUAAGAUAUUGAGUUGGAGUUUUAUAAAUAAAAUAUAUUAUUAUUAAAAAAUACUUUAAUUUUUAUUAAAUCAACCUAAUUUAAUAGAAUAAAUAGGAUCCGAUAAACUUUUAAAUAUGAGGAUCUAGAUUAAAAAAAAACACAUUUGUCAUUAGCCGGUGAAUUAAAGAGUGGUGACAAUAUAUGAUUAAUACAUGUUUUUUAUAUACAAAAUUAAUUUUUUAAAUAUUUUUUAAUUGUGCUGAUUUAAUAAUUUUGAAGUUUUAAUAUAAUAAUUGUGAUCAGACAAUAUAGAAUUAUUGGUCUUGAUAUGACCAUUUAGGAAUGUGCUUCCAUGUUCCAUAAAAUUUAAAAAAUAAAAUUUAAUUUAAAUUUAAUAGUUUUUAUAUUUUUAAAUUAUUUUAAUAUAUUAAUAUUAAAAAUAAUUUUUAAAAUAUAAAAAUAAUAUUUUAAUAUAUUUUUAAAUAAAAAAUAACUAGAAAAACCACCACACGAAACCAUCAAGAUUCAAAUGAGAUAACAGAAGCCCACGUCGACCUUUUGUUUUUUCUUGACAAACUUAACAUUUUAAUAUUUUAAUAUUUAAAUUUUUGAAAUAUAAAAAUAAUAUUUUAAUAUAUUGAUGUGAUAAUCUCGUCUCAUUGUUUCACAAACACCAAAAUCACGUGUGUUGAUUUCAAGAACAAAAACAAUAAAAAAGUGAAAACGACAGAAUCCUAAUUUGCCUUGCAGCCCAAGGGUACGAGAGAGUAUUUAAUAGUGUGAUAGUGGUUGCUUUUCAAAUAAUUUUUUAUGCUGAAAUAUAUGUUAAUAAUUUUUUUUAUUUUUUAAAAAUUAUUUUUGACAUCAGCACAUCAAAACGAUCCAAAACAUACAAACCAUAUUAAAUUUUAGCAAAAAAAAAAUAUUUAAAUUUUUUGGGAAUGGGGUUUGCACCGCGUUCCCAAACGCAUUCGAAGAUUAUUCUUACGUGAUAUCCGAUAAUAAUAGAUUCUGCUGAAGUUAUCAAUUAAAUAUAACUAAAAAAUAAAAGUAUUUUAUUAUAACGGAAGUAAUUAUAAAUUAAAAAUGUUUUCACUGUGGAUUCCACUACUUACUUAACAAGACUUAUUAUGAAUUAUAAGUGAUUUCACUAUAAAUUAUAUAUUGCUUGGUAGGAGCAUAGUGAGGUUGCAGACUCGCUUCCCUAGGUCAACUCCAGUUUUGGUGAGGCUGCAGCCCCCAGCUGCAGACACUUGGCACUGGGGCUGCCAAGCCUUGGGCGGCUACGCGUCAAGUGGGACUGCAGACCCCAUGUUGUAGAAACAUGGUGUUGGGACUGCCCUGCUCAUAAGGUUGCAAACCCAGGCGAGUGGGUCUGAAAGCCCACGCCUCAAGGUCUAUUGAACCGAAGCGCAUGGCUGCAGACUCGGGCCGGGGGUGCAGACCAGCUUGAGUAGGCUGCGGACCCAGGCGAGCAGGUCUGCAAACCCCGCGUGUUUGGGGUCUGCAGGCCCACUCGCGAUUUGCAGAACCCCGCACCUGGGUGUGUAUAACCGGAAGUGGGGUGCAGACCCGCCCCCUAAGUAUUUUCUGUGAUAUCUGGGGUCUGCAGACCCACACGACUAGGCACACCUGGGUUUUUUCUGCCAAGUUUGAGGUUUGCAGACCCCCCCCAGGGAUUGCAGACCCAUGCGGCUGGGUCUCCAGACCCCGUAGAGAAAAAUAAUAAAUUUUUAAAACAUAAAAAAAAUAUAAUAAGUAAUAAAAAUUAUAAAAAUUAUUGUUAUUGUUAUUGUUAUUGUUAAUAAAUUUUAUAACAAGAUUAUUUUUUUAACUUCAAAUUAAUAUUUUUUCCUUUAAUUCAUAUUAAGAUAUUUUUGUAUUAUUUUUUAUGUGAUUAUAUAAAAAAUAGAUUUAGAACAAUAAAAAUUAUUAUCUCAAUAUAUUUUUUUAAAAUAUUUUAAGAUAUUUCUAAUUUUAUUUUUUUCUCUCUUGAUUUUUUUUUCUUUUCUCUUAUUGAUUUUUUUUUUCAUACUGUAAAGAGAAAAUAAAUUAAUGUGAUUUUGUUUUAUAUUAUACAAAAGUUAGGUGAUGAUAAUUUUUUUUCAUUUAAGGUUGGGUCGAAUUUCCUUAUUAAAGCAUAUUUGGUUUUGCGUUCCAAAAUUUUUUUGAAAAAGUUUUGAAAUUUUUUUAUUGUUUUCUUAACUUCAAAUUAAUACUUUUGAUAUUUUUGUAUUUUUUUAAUUUUAUUUUUAAAUAUAUUGAGAUUGGGUGUAGUUGCGCAACCACACCCAAGAGAAAUAUAUUAAGUUGGGUAUUUACUUCAAAAUAGCUUUGGGUCCAGCCGCCGCUGGACCCAUUAGCCUUGGGUCAUGUCCUUAAUAUAAUCCAUCAGCGUUGGGUCUUGCCCCUAGCAGGACCCAUCAAUAAUUUUUUUUUCAUUUUUUUUCUUUCCUCUUGAGUCAGGCAUUCUUUUCCAAACCCAAGAAACUUGGGGCAGGAAAGAGCGCCUAACCCAAGGAUCUUGGGUGUGGCUAGGCGCAGACUCAAAUCCCUUAGAUCUUGCAGACCUGUUUGACCCAAGAUUAUUGAUCCUUCGUUAGGAUCCAAUCUCUUGAGUCCUGCAUCAAGACCUAAUUUUUUGGGCUAUGUCAGGACCAAAAGCUCUUGGGUCUGGCGUUGGGACCCAGGGUUAAUGGGUCCUACGUCAGGACUCAAGAUUCUUGGGUUUUAAAUUUUUAAAUAUAAUUAUUUGUAUUAUAAUUAUUAUUAUUUUUUAUUAUAAUUAAAUUAUUAAUCUAAAAAAUAUAAUUAUUUUUGUUAUAAAUAUUAGUAUUUUUUAUUAUAAUUAAAAUUAUUAAUAUUAAAAAUAGUAUUAUUUGUGUUAUAGAUAUUAUUAUUAUUAUUAUUAAAUUUUAAAAAACUAUUAUUACUACCGAAGAAAAACCAUAAUUUUUUAAGGAUUAAAAAAAUAAAAAUUUUGGAAGACAAGUGAAAUAUUAUUACUAAUAUUAUAAAUAUUAUUGUUGGUUCGGCGUUGCAGCCAGACUCAAUGCUCUUGGGUCCUACAUUGCAACCAAACCCAACGCUUUUGGGUCUUAGAUUUUUAUAAUAUUUUUUUAUUAAAAUAAAAGGUGUGCCCGCGGUGUAGCGCGAGCAAAGAAAAAAAAUAUCAAUUAUUAUUAUUAUUGUUAUCAUUAUUGUUAAUAAAGUUUUUAAAAACACUUAUUACUAUCAAAACUUUGGCAAGACAAGUUCAAUACUAUUAUUAAUAUGAUAAAUAUUAUUAUUAUUUGUAUUCUAAAUAUUAUUAUUUUUAUUAUAAUUAAAAUUAUUAGUAUUAAAAAUAUUAUUAUUUGUGAUAUAAAUAUUAUGAUUUUUUUAUAAUUAAUAUCAUUAAUAUUAAACAUACUAUUAUUUUUAUUAUAAAUAUUAUAAUUUGUAUUACAAUUAAUAUUAUUCAUAUAAUAAUUAAUAAAUUUGUAUAAAAUAUUAUUAAUAUUAAAAAACAAUAAUAGAUUUGAUUUGAAGGGUAAAAUUAAGAAUUAUUAUCACUUUUUUUAUUAUUGUUAUUGUCAUUACCAGAUUUAAAAAAACAAUUAUUACUAUCAUCGAAGAAAACAUAAUGUUUUUUAAAAAGAUUGAAAAAUAUAAGAACUUGAGUAGAGAAGUUAAAUAUUAUUAUUAAUAUUAUAAAUAUUAUUAAAUUCAUUAAUAUUAAAAUUAAAAUAAAUAUUAUUGCUAUAGAAAAAAAAACAUAGAUUUGAUUUUAAGGGUAAAAUCAAUUAUUAUUAUUAUUUAUUUUUUUCUUCACUUCAAAUUAAUAUUUUCCUUAAUUCAUAUUAAGAUAUUUUAUUAUUUUUUGAUGUGAUUAUAUAUAAAACAAAUUUAAAAAAUUAAAAAAAUAUUAUCUCAAUAUAUUUUUUAAAAAAUAUUUUAAAAAUUUCCAAUUUUAUUUUUUACUCUCUUAAUUUUUUUUUCUUUUCUUUUAUUGAUUUUUGUUCAAACUGUAAAAAGGAUCCAAAAUAAUUUUGGAUCCAGCCGCCACUAGGCCCAUCAGUCUUGGCUCCUGCUGUGAGCAUGAUACAUCAGCAUGGGUUCUAUCCCUAGCAGGACCCAUCAAUGUUGGAUCCUUCCCCUAGAAGAACUAAUUAGUAAUUUGAUUUCAUUUUUUUUCUUUUUUUUAGGUCAGACAUUCUCUUCCAAACCCAAAAAACUUGGAGUAGGAAAAAAAAACUACAUCCAAGAGAAUUUAGGUGUGGCUAGGAGGCAGACCCAAAUCCCUUGGGUCUGCAGCCUUGCCUGACCGAAUACUAUUUGUCCUUUGUCAGGAUUCAAUCUCUUGGAUCAUGACAUAGGACCUAGGGCUAAUGAGUCGUGCGUGAAAAUUUGUAUAAUUAUUGGUUCUUGAAUUUUAAAUUUCUGAAUAUAGUUAUUUGUAUUAUAAUUUGUAUCAAUUCUAAAAAGUUCAAAAAUUAGAGAAUUAAUACUUGAAGAGGUUAAAUUAUUGCAAUCAUCAUGGCUGCAUAAAAAAACAGAGGACACCCAGAACAGAGUUCCUCGCGCACCUUAUGAACAGUGAAGGUCCAUAAAAAACUCCAUUAUUUUUUUUUUAGUCUUAAGAUAAUAAGUCAUAGUUAUAAAAAGCCAAAUCUUUGAGAUGCAUCUAUCUAUUUUACUGGGUACAAAACAGGGAAGGACAAGUUCCAGGAGUUACUUGUACUCUCUCCCUUGAAUGGAAGAUGAGAAAGCAGCAGAGAACAAUAAAAGAUUGAAGGAAAUAAGCAUCUUUCUCCAUUAGGUGGUGCUUUCAUAAGCACAUACUAUGAACAAUCAUCAGAACCAAAAGAAAGAAAAGGGAAUAAUCACUUUAAUACAAUAGCAGAUGACAACAUUAUGCAUAGAAACAACACUCUCCACUGCACCAACUUGUUCCUGGUUGACAACAAAACAUUGGGACAACCUACUGUAACUCAUUCAACUGAGUUGCUUCCCUUCCUAAGAUACUAAAGUACUAUGCAAACCUUAUAAUUGGUGUAAUAUAAUAGGAGCUCCAUGUUGUGGUUAAAGAGUUAUGACAUUACCAGGAGCAUGCGUGUAAGAGGGUGAAAGCUCAAACCAGAAAUUUUGUAGAAUCAUAGUAAGAGCCAUCUUUGCUUCAGUCAAGGCAAAGUUUUGGCCUAGACAAAAUCUAGGGCCCCAACCAAAAGGGUAAAAUGCAAUUUCAUCCUUUGAUGCUUUUGAAACUCCUUCAGAGAAUCUCUCUGGUUUGAAUUCUUCUGCGUUGUCUCCCCAAUACUCAGGAUCAUAGUGAAGAAACAAGAAUGGUAACAGGAGGUCUACCCCAGCUGGAAUGGACAUUCCUCGAACGGUUGUUUCCUUUAGAGUAUGUCGAUACAGAAUAUUCACAGGUGGAUAUAGUCUUAGUACCUCGUUUAAGAUCAUUGAGACCUGCAAAUUUAUUUAGUUUUCUAAACCAAAGAUUUAUAAUCGUUUCCAAGGAGUUGACUGUAGCUUACAAAACAUGGUAAAUUAAUGCGUGAACAAAAGAAGUACUUACAAUUCUGAGUUGUUUUAUACUAUCGAUAUCAGGUGAUCUCUUGCCACAAAUCUGCAAAACUUCUUCUCUUGCUUUCUCUUGCCAGACUGGAUGCAUAGAUAGAACUAUCAAUGUCCAAGUGAGUAAGUUUGCUGUGGUCUCUUGGCCUGCAAAGAAGAACAACUUGCAUUCCUCGAUUACAUCUUCAAUUUUCAUGUCAUUAUCAGCAUCAUCUCUGCCCUUUAAAAGCAAGCCUAGCAGGUCAGCAUCGCCUAAGUCUCCAUUUUGCAUGGCCUGCUCCUUCUUAUGGAUAAUAUUUCUCAAUGCUGCUUUUAUCUCUUUGUCUAUACUGUAUCUCUUCUUGUUCUUUUUAGAGGGUAUGAAUCUAUUGGAGAAGCGCAA
rnacentral:lncRNA from 1 species